rnacentral:rRNA from 1 species
AACGAACGCUGGCGGCAGGCUUAACACAUGCAAGUCGAACGCAUCCUUCGGGGUGAGUGGCAGACGGGUGAGUAACGCGUGGGAACGUGCCCUUCAGUUCGGGAUAACCCAGGGAAACUUGGGCUAAUACCGGAUACGUGCGAGAGCAGAAAGAUUUAUCGCUGAAGGAUCGGCCCGCGUCUGAUUAGCUAGUUGGUGGGGUAAUGGCCCACCAAGGCGACGAUCAGUAGCUGGUCUGAGAGGAUGAUCAGCCACAUUGGGACUGAGACACGGCCCAAACUCCAACGGGAGGCAGCAGUGGCGAAUAUUGGACAAUGGGCGCAAGCCUAAUCCAGCCAUGCCGCGUGAGUGAUGAAGGCCUUAGGGUUGUAAAGCUCUUUCGUCCGGGACGAUAAUGACGGUACCGGAAGAAGAAGCCCCGGCUAACUUCGUGCCAGCAGCCGCCGUAA